UACAGAGGUCUCAAGCGUUGUUCGGAUUCAUUGGGCGUAAAGGGGUGCGUAGGCGGCGCGGUAAGUCGGAUGUGAAAUCUCGGAGCUUAACUCCGAAACUGCAUUCGAUACUGCCGUGCUUGAGGACUGGAGAGGAGACUGGAAUUUACGGUGUAGCGGUGAAAUGCGUAGAUAUCGUAAGGAAGACCAGUGGCGAAGGCGGGUCUCUGGACAGUUCCUGACGCUGAGGCACGAAGGCCAGGGGAGCAAACGGGG
rnacentral:rRNA from 1 species